rnacentral:lncRNA from 11 species
AUGUUUGUUUGGUGGCAAGAAGGCAAAAGGUUUUCUUUGGGUUGCUCCCAGAAUUUUGAACUUUCUUCUUCGGGAUGCCAGGACAGCUCUUUGCUUGUAGUCUCUUUGGCAGCAAUUGAAAACAUUUUUAUUUUAUCAGGCUUUUACGAACUGACUUUUGGAAAUUACUGGUAUACUACACUGUUUUGUUAAAUUUUAUAUUGUCUUUUAAUAGACACUGAAUGAUUGUAACUCCAUUUAAUUGCUUUCAAAAUAGUGUAUGAUGUGCAUGAUGCUUUUGUGAGGUUUUAUUUUGUAUUGGUUUUAAUCAUUUGUGUGCUGCCUUGCAUCUCAUUACUGGAAGAAGUCAAAAUAUAAAAGAAUAAA